GCCUGGUUGGCCUAGUGGUUUAAGGCACUGCGGGGGCGUACCAACCCGGGCGUGUGUCACCGCACAAGCGUGUGCUCCGAAGGUGUUGGCGCGUCCUCCAGAGACCCCUGGUUCGAAUCCAGGAUCGGGCA
rnacentral:tRNA from 1 species